GGAGACGUACCGAAGUGGCCGUAACGGGGCUGACUCGAAAUCAGUUUAUCGGUGUAUAGCCGGUACGAGGGUUCGAAUCCCUCCGUCUCCGCCA
rnacentral:tRNA from 1 species